rnacentral:lncRNA from 1 species
CCCACUCAUAGAAUUUUCCCAAGAGCCUCACUCUACCCCAAGAGUUCUUUCACUAGAAUACUUUUCACUCUAGCUCUCUUUUUCUCUCACCCGUGCCCAUGCUUUCCUAUGGGAGAGCUGAAUGCUCUCCCCCUUGGAUGCUCUCUGAUGCUUACCCUCUCACUCGGCAAGCCCUUUCAUCAUUCGGCAAAUCCUUCCACUUAUAACAACAAAAGAAAACCACCUUUGAAAAGGCCACAAAUCAAGGGCUAGACAUGAUGAUGUCUCCCUUUUUCUUUGUCCCUUUCUUUAGCCAAAAGUAGAUUUCUCCCUUUUCCUUUGUCCCUUUCUUUAGCCGAAAGUAGCUAGCACUCCACAUGGUUGAGAUGAAAUUGUUGCCAACUCAUAAUUAUAUGAGCCAAUCAUAACAAUCUCCACCUUGGUGAAUAUACAGUGCAAAAAUCCUUGCACCUAUCACCAAAGUCCAUUGGCCUUACGUACCAGCAUACACACCCUAAAUCAACCUCGUUGGUCCUGUUUCGAUUCAGUCACUGCCAAUGCAUGUGCAGCUGCUGCAAGCUAAAAUUCACCAUUUAGCUUCAGACAGGAUCUCGACACAUCAUCGUCUCCUCCAGCAGGUUUUCCUCCUCUUCAUUAUCCGCAACCUGGAAACUCGUCAGCGCGCCCGUUUCCAGCAACAACCCAUCGAGCCAGACAAAAUUCCCACACUUCCUCCUACCUCAGGACCAUCUCAUCACCUGUGAAUCCCAUAGCUCCACCUGCUGCAAAACCCCUGCAACACUUGAGACUAAACAUCACUAAGAGAAGUGUUGCUUCGAGUACCUAGAGGGCAUACUCGAAGCCUUAUGCCACAAACUUGCUACCACUCGGCCUUACACCGUAGCACUGUGGACCCUUGCCUCCGGAACCGGAUCUGAACCUGCUCUUUCUCAUAUCCUCUUUCCAAUUUUCUUCCACGAUUCCGACCUUGAAUAGCUUAAGCAGUCUCGUGCCCACCAUCAUCCAUGGUCUCCUUUGUGUAUCAUUCCACACCAAAGAAGCUUGCACUUGCUCCAAACUUACUGUAUCUUUCCAUGCAGUAAAGUUUCACAAGGUUCUAAGACAAAUCUGAAAGUGAGGUAAGAAGAAAGAGGCCUUUGUCUUCUUCCUCAACAUCAACUUUCGCAGUUGAUCAAGCAUCCCAUGAACACUUCUUCUUGUUUAGGCUUCCAUUACUCUCCUUUGUCAAGAGUAAAACCGCCUCUUCCUUUAAACCGCUCAACUGAAAAUUCCAUGGUGGACUACAAAUCUGGACCUCCAACGAACCAAAGCCCCCAGCGAUGCUCUGAUACCAAUUGUUGUGCCUUGGCCCGUUCGUUAGUGCGGAAACGAGAUUCAGAUUACAACCUCACCAAAAUCACACUCAGUUGAACAGAAUAAAAUACAAGAAAUAAAGACACCGAGAAAUUUACGAGGUUCGGCAAAAACCUACCUGCUUCCCCGGAGAGAUAUUGCUCUUCACUAUGAGAAUAACAGUACAAGUACACAUGAGUUAAAUCAACAUAACCCAAUCCCGAAUCCCUUGCACACCCACUCAUAUAAUUUUCCCAAGAGCCUCACUCUACCCCAAGAGUUCUUUCACUAGAAUACUUUUCACUCUAGCUCUCUUUUUCUCUCACCCGUGCCCAUGCUUUCCCAUGGGAGAGCCGAAUGCUCUCCCCCUUGGAUGCUCUCUGAUGCUUACCCUCUCACUCGGCAAGCCCUUUCAUCCUUCAGCAAAUCCUUCCACUUAUAACAACAAAAGAAAACCACCUUUGAAAAGGCCACAAAUCAAGGGCUAGACAUGAUGAUGUCUCCCUUUUUCUUUGUCCCUUUCUUUAGCCAAAAGUAGAUGUCUCCCUUUUCCUUUGUCCCUUUCUUUAGCCGAAAGUAGCUAGCACUCCACAUGGUUGAGAUGAAAUUGUUGCCAACUCAUAAUUAUAUGAGCCAAUCACAACAAU